rnacentral:rRNA from 1 species
AGUCACUGACAUUAGAUACCCCUGUAGUCCUAGCCGUAAACGAUACUCGCUAGGUGUCGGCCACGGUGCGACCGUUGUCGGUGCCGUAGGGAAGCCGUGAAGCGAGCCACCUGGGAAGUACGGCCGCAAGGCUGAAACUUAAAGGAAUUGGCGGGGGAGCACCACAACGGGUGGAGCUUGCGGUUUAAUUGGAUUCAACGCCGGAAAUCUUACCGGGACCGACAGCAACAUGAAGGCCAGGCUGAAGACUUUGCCGGAUUAGCUG